UUGUCGUCAGCUCGUGUCGUGAGAUGUUGGGUUAAGUCCCGCAACGAGCGCAACCCUUGAUUUUAGUUGCCAGCAUUUAGUUGGGCACUCUAAAGUGACUGCCGGUGCAAGCCGGAGGAAGGUGGGGAUGACGUCAAAUCAUCAUGCCCCUUAUGACCUGGGCUACACACGUGCUACAAUGGAUGGUACAAAGGGUCGCGAAGCCGCGAGGUGGAGCCAAUCCCAUAAAACCAUUCUCAGUUCGGAUUGUAGGCUGCAACUCGCCUACAUGAAGCCGGAAUCGCUAGUAAUCGUGGAUCAGCAUGCCACGGUGAAUACGUUCCCGGGCCUUGUACACACCGCCCGUCACACCACGAGAGUUUGUAACACCCGAAGUCGGUAGGGUAACCUUUAUGGAGCCAGCCGCCGAAGGUGGGACAGAUAAUUGGGGUGAAGUCGUAACAAGGUAGCCGUAUCGGAAGGUGCGGCUGGAUCACCUCCUUUCUAAGGAA
rnacentral:rRNA from 1 species